rnacentral:rRNA from 1 species
GUGGGGAAUAUUGGACAAUGGGCGGAAGCCUGAUCCAGCCAUGCCGCGUGUGUGAAGAAGGCCUUUUGGUUGUAAAGCACUUUAAGCGAGGAGGAGGCUCUUAAGGUUAAUACCCUUGAUGAGUGGACGUUACUCGCAGAAUAAGCACCGGCUAACUCUGUGCCAGCAGCCGCGGUAAUACAGAGGGUGCGAGCGUUAAUCGGAUUUACUGGGCGUAAAGCGUGCGUAGGCGGCUGAUUAAGUCGGAUGUGAAAUCCCCGAGCUUAACUUGGGAAUUGCAUUCGGUACUGGUUGGCUAGAGUAUGGGAGAGGAUGGUAGAAUUCCAGGUGUAGCGGUGAAAUGCGUAGAGAUCUGGAGGAAUACCGAUGGCGAAGGCAGCCAUCUGGCCUAAUACUGACACUGAGGUGCGAAAGCAUGGGGAGCAAACAGGAUUAGAUACCCUUGUAGUCC